AUAGUGCCUGAUUUGGUGGAGCGCCUGUCUGUGGAACAGGAGGUCGGUGGUUCGAACCCACCCAACUGUA
rnacentral:tRNA from 1 species